rnacentral:lncRNA from 1 species
AAAAAAUUAUAAAUGAUUGAGUAGAAUAGAAAUACACGUUAUACAAUUGAUUUAAUCAAGCAAUACAUAGGUAUGCAUAAUGUAAAUAGGUAGAUUAUGCCAUUUUCAAUAAAACCCUACAAAAAUAAACUAUUUCAAAAUUUAAACUCAAGCUAUAUUGUUUGUUUAAAGUGAGAAACAACACUUUAGCUUUGCCGAGUAAAACCUUUUUCCUGAGACUUUAGAUAAUAUUUAUCCAAGAAGGAAGUAUGAUGUCUCAAUAUAUUUUCCUUCAAUUCUCGAGAAUGGUUUACUCCAUGAGGAAAAGUUAUGGAUAUCAUAGAACAUAUACGUAGAGAUGAAAAUUGUGUAUAAUUUGAACAUGGUAUUAAAAAAAACGGAAAAUCAACAUGGCAAUCCUGACAAUUUGAAGAAUGGUUUGGAGGAGAACAACACUGUUAAGGAAAGUAGUGAUCUAUUGCAAUGUAUUUGGACGUCAAAAUGGGACCCUGAAAUAAAAGGACUUAAAACCUUACUGUCUACCACCAAUGUAUCCCUUUAAUGCCUAGUUUGAUUAUUUUCAGACACUAAUAUUGAUUAAAAUCAUGUUAUUACAUCGUUAUACAAUCUAUGGAAAUUCAAGGGAAUACUUGAAGCAAAUCCUCAGAAAACCCACAUCCUAGAAGCCAGUGGCAGUUGAGCGGUGAUUCCUUCCCUGUUCCCACACUUAUAUAUAGGACGUCAGAUGUAUAGUCUAUAGGUGCCGUUGUAUCUCAUUAUUAAUUUUAAAACAAAAAUACAUCAACAAACGAUAGGAAAUUGUAAUGAGUAGAACUCAUAAGUCAUAUGCAAUCAAUAGGAGUAUGAAUAUUUAAUUAUCUCCCAUUCCACUGUUCUUCACAAAGUAGGAACAUCUAAGAAUCUUCCCCAGGAUAGCUUCUUCUUGGGAUUCUGAAAGAGACAACUCCCCUCAAUUUACAUUCUGGAACUCCAUAUCACAGUUGGUAGACUGUGCUGGGCUUAGCCCGUUUUUUUGCGAAUGGAGUAGUGAUCUUUUCAAUACAUCCCAGAUCCCAGCUUUUGAUUUUUUGGAGGAGUGUCUUGAUUGUUUUUAGUUUUACUGGAGAUUCUUGUGAUGGGAAGAACUACGAACUUAUUGAGUCCUGUUGGUAUCUCCGACUUUACUAUAAACUCCAAUUCAUCCUUUAGGGCUUUCCUAGCAGUAAGUUGAUGAACUCGUCUGAUUUUCUCAUCUUCUUUUACAUAGAUUUUCAUUGGAUCAAGUUUCUCUGACUCAUUCAAAACAUGAGGAAACUCUGGAAAAAUGGACUCGACAUUCAUAAUUUGCGGGUCCCUCAAAGAGUUUUGGUUACAGAAUUACAUAUAAUUGUUUCUAGAAAAUAUUUUGGAAUAACGUUAAGUGACGCUAAAUCAUGCCACGAAAGGAUAUUUUCACUUGCACCUGUAUUCGGGAGUGCUCUCAUAUAUUGUAAGACGGGGAGUGGAGUGCUUAAUGGAUGAUGUACUAUUAACAAUGCUUGAGGCUGUUUCUACAGGGCUAGAAUUUCUCGUUGUCCUUGAGUGAGAUUUGGAUUCUGAAUCAUAAUUCUGAUCAUCUACAAAAA